CUUACCUGGUUGAGGAGAUACCAUGAUCAUGGAAAGGGUAAGGAGAUAUUGUGAUCUUGGAGAGGGCAUUCCUGGGGUGAGGCUCAUCCAUUACAUUCUGGUUAGUGACCCCUGAGAUUUCCUCAAAUGUAAGAAACUCUGGUGCAUCAUUGUGGUAAUGGGGAAAAUACAUUUAUGCUUUCUCCUU
rnacentral:snRNA from 1 species